rnacentral:lncRNA from 1 species
CUCCAUGGUGACACGUAGUACCACCUAUGAGACUCUAGAUGCCUUUUUAGGCUGAAGAAGAAGCAGAAGAGUGUGAUGUUGGGGUCGAUUCCAGCCAGCACGCACAUUGCAGUAAAACCAUAGAUGUGCCAUCAUAAGUUGGAAACUAUUGAGCAUGAUGACACCUAAAAGUAUUGGAGGAGGAUGAUGAAGAAAGAAUGAAGGGGAAGCCUCAGUCUGGCCCAGA